UCGAAAGAGAGCCGUAACACAGGCGCUGCAUGGCUGUCGUCAGCUCGUGUCGUGAGAUGUUGGGUUAAGUCCCGCAACGAGCGCAACCCUUGUCAUUAGUUGCUACAUUCAGUUGGGCACUCUAAUGAGACUGCCGGUGACAAACCGGAGGAAGGUGGGGAUGACGUCAAGUCCUCAUGGCCCUUAUAGGUGGGGCUACACACGUCAUACAAUGGAUGGUACAAAGGGUCGCCAACCCGCGAGGGGGGAGCCAAUCCCAUAAAGCCAUUCGUAGUCCGGAUCGCAGUCUGCAACUCGACUGCGUGAAGUCGGAAUCGCUAGUAAUCGUGGAUCAGAAUGUCACGGUGAAUACGUUCCCGGGUCUU
rnacentral:rRNA from 1 species